UUAGUUUAGGUAUUUCAGUUAUAACGAUACCUACUUGAUAUCGUUCCGAUGCCCGCCGUUAACUUCUCAACCCUACUGAUUGUCUUUGAUUCAUAGUCGGCCAUUAUUGUUGUGUAAAAAAGUCAUCUAAGUAAAUUUCGAGUUUACGUAUGGACGUUUGUUACCUUUUCACGUAAAAAGUACAGAACUACUUUUAACUCUGAAAAACGCAUGGUUCCUGCGGAAAUUGUGGAAAACUAAAUAUCACGCGGAUGUCGUCCUCUAAUUCUUUAAUAAUAAAUUAUAUCAUCCCUUAAAUAAUAAAUUAUAAAAUUACCACAUGGAUGUGGAACUGUCACAAUGUUGAAGUUUAUUGAACACACCUUGCUUAUCAAUAGUAACCUGCAUUCAUCACUUAAAGCCAAAAAUUAAAUAAAAUGUCUCUCACUCAUUCUCUAAGGUUUUUCGCGUUGCCGUGGCCGUACGGGUCUAUAUAUUACUCUCCUAUAGGGAUCCUUGUGAUCUGUGGUAUUUAAUAGUUUAUAUUACUUGCUGGUACUGUAGCUUUUCAGUGAUGGUUUUCAAUUAUUUUUUAAAUACGGCUUAGACGUAAAACCGUAACAAACAAACAAACUCACAUUCUUUUUUAUAAUAAUGGGCAGGAUGUAUGUAUAAUUGAAUACGAAUUUGUGUGUGGGUGUAAUAUAUCUACCUACGUACGUCUACCUAUUUAAUUGAAGUUUCUCAUAUUAGCAUAACCUGAUGCAAAGUGACGUCUAAAUUUAGCACUAUGAAUAAUGUAUGGACGAAUGAAGCAGAAAGCUUAUUCCGUUUUAGAAGACUCGUGGAGAGAAGAGGAAGCUGUGAGGAAGAUAAAGAGAGAUAAGGAGAUGACUUUAUUGAAACAGAAGAUAGCUAAAGAGGAAGCCGAAACAGUCAAAUUACUCGAAACUGGGGAACUUUUUAAAUAAAGUAUUAUUGAUAUUAUUGGUGUGA